CCAACAUUAAGGAAGGUUGCAAAAGAUAUAUUUGCUAUCCCAAUAACAACUGUUGCUUCUGAAUCUACAUUUAGUACAAGUGGCAGAAUAGUCAAUGAACAUAGGAGCCGCCUCACCUCUCUUAUGCUUGAAACAUUGAUGUGCUCUCAAGAUUGGCUUAGGAACAAAUUAAAAGACAUCCAAGAAGGAAAUCAGGACUUGGCUGAUUGAGU